rnacentral:rRNA from 1 species
AUUGAACGCUGGCGGCAGGCCUAACACAUGCAAGUCGAACGAGUGGCGGACGGGUGAGUAAUGUCUGGGCAACUGCCUGAUGGAGGGGGAUAACUACUGGACACGGUUGCUACUAACGCCUCGCAUAAGAUGUGCCCAGAUGGGAUGAGCUGGUGGGUGGGGUAACGGCUCGCCACGGCGACGAUCCCUAGCUGGUCUGAGAGGAUGCCCAGCCACACUGGAACUGAGACACGGUCCAGACUCCUACGGGAGGCAGCAGUGGGGAAUAUUGGACAAUGGGCGCAAGCCUGAUGCAGCCAUGCCGCGUGUAUGAAGAAGGCCUUCGGGUUGUAAAGUACUUUCAGCGGGGAGGCGUUACCCGCAGAAGAAGCACCGGCUAACUCCGUGCCAGCAGCCGCGGUAAUUC